CGGCAGCGGGUUGUAGCAAUACAAUGCCGGCGAGUGGCGCACGGGUGCGUAACACGUAUGCAACCUACCCUAUACUGGGGCAUAACCUUUAGAAAUGAGGGCUAAUACUCCAUGUAAUUAUGAGAAGGCAUCUUUUUAUAAUUAAAGAUUUAUCGGUAUAGGAUGGGCAUGCGUCCCAUUAGUUAGUUGGUAAGGUAACGGCUUACCAAGACUGUGAUGGGUAGGGGUCCUGAGAGGGUUCACCCCCACACUGGUACUGAGACACGGACCAGACUCCUACGGGAGGCAGCAGUAAGGAAUAUUGGGCAAUGGCCGUAAGGCUGACCCAGCCAUGCCGCGUGCAGGAAGACGGCCUUAUGGGUUGUAAACUGCUUUUUUGUGGGAAUAACCGUAGCUAUGCGUAGCUACCUGCAAGUACCAUAAGAAUAAGCAUCGGCUAACUCCGUGCCAGCAGCCGCGGUAAUACGGAGGAUGCGAGCGUUAUCCGGAAUCAUUGGGUUUAAAGGGUGCGUAGGCUGGUAUUUAAGUCAGUGGUGAAAUUUUCGUGCUUAACAUGAGAGCUGCCAUUGAUACUGGGUACCUAGAGUGUAUUUGAUGUGGGCGGAAUGUGUUGUGUAGCGGUGAAAUGCUUAGAUAUGACACAGAACACCGAUAGCGAAGGCAGCUCACAAAGUUACAACUGAGGCUGAUGCACGAAAGCGUGGGGAUCAAACAGGAUUAGAUACCCUGGUAGUCCACGCUGUAAACGAUGAUCACUAGCUGUUGGCGAUAUACAGUCAGUGGCUAAGCUAAAGCGAUAAGUGAUCCACCUGGGGAGUACGUCCGCAAGGAUGAAACUCAAAGGAAUUGACGGGGGCCCGCACAAGCGGAGGAGCAUGUGGUUUAAUUC
rnacentral:rRNA from 1 species